rnacentral:rRNA from 1 species
AUCAUUAAUGGUCGAGACGUGUUCCCGACACGGAUCUUGAACACCCCCACGUGUACCUUUCCGGUUGCCUCCCGCGCGCGCCCUCUCGGCCGGACGGGGGGGACGCCCACGUCCCCUCCGGCCGCGAGAAAAGGGUACGUACGGAGGUGGGCGGUAUGACCCCACACACACUCCUGCGUCUCUGUACCAUCAGUCUGAACCGUCAAAUACAAAAAGUUAAAACUUUCAACAACGGAUCUCUUGGUUCUCGCAUCGAUGAAGAACGCAGCGAAAUGCGAUAAGUAGUGUGAAUUGCAGAAUUCCGUGAAUCAUUGAAUCUUUGAACGCACAUUGCGCCUCCUGGCAUUCCGGGAGGCGUGCCUGUCCGAGCGUCAUUGCAAUCAACUCAAGCUCCNUUGCCAGCUUGGUCGUGGAAGAAGAGUCUGUCGGCAGUCUCCCCUCCGAAAUUCAAUGGGCGGAAGAUUGCCGGUGUGGGGCGUAGUAACAACGUUCGCUUCCCAUCCGGUGCGCUUCCCGCCGUCAAACCCCUCUCCCGUGACUCCAUCGAUUGACCUC